UACGGAGGGUGCAAGCAUUAAUCGGAUUUAUUGGGCGUAAAGGGCGCGUAGGCGGUUAUGAAAGUCAGAUGUGAAAUCCCGGGGCUCACCCCCGGAACAGCAUUUGAAACUCCAUAACUAGAGGGUAGGCGGAGAAAACGGAAUUCCACAAGUAGCGGUGAAAUGCGUAGAUAUGUGGAAGAACACCAGUGGCGAAGGCGGUUUUCUAGCUUAUACCUGACGCUGAGGCGCGAAAGCAAGGGGAUCAAACAGG
rnacentral:rRNA from 1 species